rnacentral:rRNA from 1 species
UACGUAGGGGGCAAGCGUUGUCCGGAUUCAUUGGGCGUAAAGAGCGUGUAGGCGGCCAGGCAGGUCGGUUGUGAAAACUGGAGGCUCAACCUUCAGAGGUCGACCGAAACCAUCUGGCUAGAGUCCGGGAGAGGAGAGUGGAAUUCCUGGUGUAGCGGUGAAAUGCGCAGAUAUCAGGAAGAACACCCGUGGCGAAAGCGGCUCUCUGGAACGGUACUGACGCUGAGACGCGAAAGCGUGGGGAGCGAACAGG